UACGUAGGGGGCAAGCGUUGUCCGGAAUUUAUUGGGCGUAAAGAGCGCGUAGGCGGUCCGAUAAGUCGGCUGUGAAAGUCAGGGGCUCAACCCUUGGAAGCCGGCCCGAUACUGUCGGACUAGAGUCCGGAAGAGGCGAGUGGAAUUCCCGGUGUAGCGGUGAAAUGCGCAGAUAUCGGGAGGAACACCAAUGGCGAAGGCAGCUCGCUGGGACGGUACUGACGCUGAGGCGCG
rnacentral:rRNA from 1 species